UACGGAAGGGGCGAGCGUUGUUCGGAAUCAUUGGGCGUAAAGGGCGCGUAGGUGGUGCUGUAUGUCUCCCGUGAAAGCCCACGGCUCAACUGUGGGAGGUCGGGAGAAACUGCAGGACUUGAGGCUGGGAGGGGCUGGUGGAAUUCCCUGUGUAGCGGUGAAAUGCGUAGAGAUGGGGGAGAACACUCGUGGCGAAGGCGGCCAGCUAGACCAGUUCUGACACUGAGGCGCGACAGCGUGGGGAGCAAACAGG
rnacentral:rRNA from 1 species